rnacentral:tRNA from 1 species
GCCGGCCGGGGCGGCGGGGGUGGGCCGGACGCCGCUGGCGCUGGCGGAGGCCGGGGCGUACGACUGGAUCCUGCCGGCGGCCGGCUC